GACAGCAGUCGCCACGGUAAUACGUAGGGUGCAAGCGUUAAUCUGAAUUACUGGGCGUAAAGCGUGCGCAGGCGGUUAUAUAAGACAGAUGUGAAAUCCCCGGGCUCAACCUGGGAACUGCAUUUGUGACUGUAUAGCUAGAGUACGGCAGAGGGGGAUGGAAUUCCGCGUGUAGCAGUGAAAUGCGUAGAUAUGCGGAGGAACACCGAUGGCGAAGGCAAUCCCCUGGGCCUGUACUGACGCUCAUGCACGAAAGCGUGGGGAGCAAACAGGAUUAGAUACCCGUGUAGUCCCUGUCUCUUAUAC
rnacentral:rRNA from 1 species